GACGAACGCUGGCGGCGUGCUUAACACAUGCAAGUCGAGCGGUAAGGCCCUUUCGGGGGUACACGAGCGGCGAACGGGUGAGUAACACGUGGGUGACCUGCCCUUAGCUCUGGGAUAAGCCUGGGAAACUGGGUCUAAUACCGGAUAUGACUCCAUGACGCAUGUUGUGGGGUGGAAAGCCUUGUGCGGCUAGGGAUGGGCCCGCGGCCUAUCAGCUUGUUGGUGGGGUGAUGGCCUACCAAGGCGACGACGGGUAGCCGGCCUGAGAGGGCGACCGGCCACACUGGGACUGAGACACGGCCCAGACUCCUACGGGAGGCAGCAGUGGGGAAUCUUGCGCAAUGGGCGAAAGCCUGACGCAGCGACGCCGCGUGCGGGAAGAAGGCCUCGG
rnacentral:rRNA from 1 species